rnacentral:rRNA from 1 species
UACGUAGGGAGCAAGCGUUUGUCCGGAAUCAUUGGGCGUAAAGCGCGCGUAGGUGGCCUCGUAAGUCCGCUGUAAAAGUCAAAGGCUCAACCUUUGAAAGCCGGUGGAUACUGCGGGGCUAGAGUACGGAAGAGGCGAGUGGAAUUCCUGGUGUAGCGGUGGAAUGCGCAGAUAUCAGGAGGAACACCAAUAGCGAAGGCAGCUCGCUGGGACGUUACUGACACUGAGGCGCGAAAGCGUGGGGAGCGAACAGG